UGUGACCUGGGAUAUUUUGGCGACUGCUUGACGAAGUGUCCGGCUGGGCUGUAUGGCAGUCUCUGUUUACAAAAGUAUUCAUGUAUACCAAAGCUGUGUAAUCACGUGACAGGUUGCCCUGCUGCUUCGGUACCAGUAGGAACAACAACUGCUAAACCUGGAAGUUGCCCGGAUAACGACAACGGAUGCUGUCUUAACUAUUACAGCGAUGGUAACAAAUGCAGAGAGUGUCCAUCGGGAUAUUUUGAUUACAAUUGUUCUCAAAUAUGUCCACCAGGUUUUUAUGGAAAAAAGUGUAUCUCAGAAUGUGAAACUUGUAACAUAUCCCUCUGUGAUCAUGUCAAUGGAUGUACCUAUGUGACAGGGAAAAUGAUAUUACCCUGAACGUGAAUUACACACAUUUAAAGACAAUGAAGUAGGAUAUCCAUAUGGUCUGGACGCAAACCUGACAGCUAUUUUACAAGCGGAUAUAUCUGUUUAAGUUACUAAAUCAAUAAUUGUGAGUUAUAAUGCCAGAUUCAUCUUUAGGAAUCUUUGAAAGGAACUCAGUUGUUCUGACUGAAAGUUUAUCAACUAGGUCAAUUUGAAAUAUACAUGUAUGGACAUUUCCUCAAAUUAAAGUUCAAUAUUUAGAUAUUGUACAAUCACUUUCUGAUAUGCGUUGAUAAUAUUUCUUAUUUCUAUGUAACAUGGAUGUUUUACAUUGUUUUACAUUGUAGAGAUACAAAGAGACACUUUACAUUCUAAAGAUAAACAGAGAGAAUCUACAUUGUAAAGAUACACAUGGAAUUUACAUGCAUAAUUGUAUUAUAGUCAAUUGUUAAUGUAUAAACAGAGUGGGGUUUUUUCAGUUGUAAGAGUGUAAAUUGAUCAUUUGAUUUUUCAGAUACCAACAUUCAAACUCUUAUAAAUCAGAUAGUUGUGAUUGCACAAUAUCUUUUAUUAGGAUAGUGCAAUGUAGCAUCAUCAGCAAAUAAGAUCAAUCCUUGAGUUUUGUCAAUACAAUGUGAGAUCUUUGAAAGUGGAAUUGAAAUAGAAAUAAGUGACACGUUAAUAGUAACGAAGUUUACAAGAAGACAUAAGUGAAUAUAACGAACAGAGACCAAUCUAAUAAAUCCUGUAAAGACAGACAUUUACGAACAGGGCAAACACAGGCCCCUGGAAAUACCAGAGGUGGGGUCAGGCGCCUGGAAGCAGUCAGCGUUCCCUGCUUAUCGGUCACACCCGCCGGGUGCUCUCCUUAUUGAUCAGGUAGAUGGAGUAAUCCAUAAUCAACAUCAAUGAGUAAAGAACGACCUAAAAUUGCUAUGGCACAUCUCAGACAUCAUUUGACCUAUUGAGUGGCUGUAUUUGCAGAGAGUAUCAUUAGAACAACCAUAGAAUUUUGCGAAUUGCUGACUUUAGAUGAAAGUUUUGAAACCCCUGUAAAAUCAAUUUAUAUGCCAGUAGCCUGCGUCGGAUUAGAAGUUGACUAUACACAGAAUAAGUUCUCGUAAAUUGAAUCAGUUGGGAGGCGAACGUGAUGGAAUCCUUCCACAGGAUCAUGGGAAAACGUCGAUGGAGAAUCUGAAAAGAUUUUUUGAUAAUAUUUGUUAACAUGUAUUUCAGACUUUACCACCACAAUUAUAUAUGGUAUACUGAU